GUUGUUGUGGUUAAAAAGCUCGUAGUUGGACCUCAACAACCUUGGAGCGGUCGCCUAAGCGGUGUACUGCUUCUUAGGUUGUGCUUUUGCUGGAGGUUUAGAGGUGCUCUUGAUCGAGUGUCUCUGGAUGCCAGCAGGUUUACUUUGAAAAAAUUAGAGUGCUCAAAGCAGGCUAUUCCGCCUGUAUAUCGGUGCAUGGAAUAAUAGAAUAGGAUGUCGAUCCUACUUUGUUGGUUUUCGGGACUCGACAUAAUGAUUAAUAGGGACAGUCGGGGGCAUUUGUAUUCAAACGACAGAGGUGAAAUUCUUGGACCGUUUGAAGACAAACUACUGCGAAAGCAUUUGCCAAGAAUGUUUUCAUUAAUCAAGAACGAAAGUUAGAGGUUCGAAGGCGAUUAGAUACCGCCCUAGUUCUAACCAUAAACGAUGCCAGCUAGCGAUCUGCCGGUGUUUUACUGUAGACCCGGCAGGAAGCUUCCGGGAAACCAAAGCAUUUGGGUUCCAGGGGAAGUAUGGUUGCAAAGCUGAGACUUAAAGGAAUUGACGGAAGGGCACCACCAGGAGUGGAGCCUGUGGCUUAAUUUGACUCAACACGGGAAAACUCACCAGGCCCGGACACUGGAAGGAUUGACAGAUUGAUAGCUCUUUCUUGAUUCGGUGGGUGGUGGUGCAUGGCCGUUCUUAGUUGGUGGAGUGAUUUGUCUGGGUUAUUCC
rnacentral:rRNA from 1 species